CGGACGGGUGAGUAACGCGUGGAAAACCUGCCGUAUACUGGGGGAUAACACUUAGAAAUAGGUGCUAAUACCGCAUAAGCGCACAGCUUCGCAUGAAGCGGUGUGAAAAACUCUGGUGGUAUACGAUGGUUCCGCGUCUGAUUAGCUAGUUGGUGGGGGUAAUGGCCUACCAAGGCAACGAUCAGCAGCCGGCCUGAGAGGGUGAACGGCCACAUUGGGACUGAGACACGGCCCAAACUCCUACGGAAGGCAGCAG
rnacentral:rRNA from 1 species